rfam:Oreochromis niloticus linkage group LG9, whole genome shotgun sequence.
CUGUAACCUGGUUCAAGUAAUCCAGGAUAGGCUUUCUGCAUCUGCUUUGGCCUAUGCUUGAUUACUUGCACUUGGAGGCAG